rnacentral:rRNA from 1 species
AUUGAACGCUGGCGGCGUGCCUAACACAUGCAAGUCGAGCGGCAGCGGGCCCGCAAGGGUGCCGGCGAGCGGCGGACGGGUGAGCAAUACAUAGGAAUCUACCUUAGAGCGGGGGAUAGCCCGGGGAAACCCGGAUUAAUACCGCAUGAUGUCGAAAGACCAAAGUGGGGGACCGUAAGGCCUCACACUCUGAGAUGAGCCUAUGUCGGAUUAGCUAGUUGGCGGGGAACGGCCCACCAAGGCAACGACGGGUAGCUGGUCUGAGAGGAUGGCCAGCCACAUUGGGACUGAGACACGGCCCAGACUCCUACGGGAGGCAGCAGUGGGGAAUAUUGCGCAAUGGACGAAAGUCUGACGCAGCGACGCCGCGUGUGGGAUGACGGUCUCGGAUUGUAAACCACUGUCGGGAGGGACGAAUACGCCGCAAGGCGGGUGACGGUACCUCCAAAGGAAGCACCGGCUAACUCCGUGCCAGCAGCCGCGGUAAC